UAGUCAUAUGCUUGUCUCAAAGAUUAAGCCAUGCAUGUCUAAGCACAAGCCGAUUUAAUGGUGAAGCCGCGAAUGGCUCAUUACAACAGCCAUAGUUUCUUAGAUCUUACUUUUCUACUUGGAUAACUGUGGUAAUUCUAGAGCUAGGGCACGCAAACAAGCUCAGACCUUACGGAAUGAGCGCAUUUAUUAGAACAAAAACCAAUCGGAUUUCGGUCCGUCAUUUGGUGAAUCUGAAUAACUUUGCUGAUCGCACGGUCAUCGUACCGGCGACAUAUCUUUCAAAUGUCUGCCUUAUCAACUUUCGAUGGUAGUUUAUGCGCCUACCAUGGUUGUAACGGGUAACGGAGAAUAAGGGUUCGACUCCGGAGAGGGAGCCUGAGAAACGGCUACCACAUCCAAGGAAGGCAGCAGGCACGCAAAUUACCCACUCCCGGCACGGGGAGGUAGUGACGAAAAAUAACGAGACGGCUCGCUAUGCGGUCCGUCAUCGGAAUGAGUACAAUUUAAAUCCUUUAACGAGGAUCUAUUGGAGGGCAAGUCUGGUGCCAGCAGCCGCGGUAAUUCCAGCUCCAAUAGCAUAUAUUAAAGUUGUUGCGGUUAAAACGCCCGUAGUUGGAUCAGCGGAUUUGGAGAACGGUCUGCCGAUGGGCUGUACUGUUCUCCUGUCCUAUUCAUCUCUAGUUCGCUCUAGGUGCUCUUCAUUGAGUGUCUAGGGUGGCUGGAACUUUUACUUUGAAAAAAUUAGAGUGCUCAAAGCAGG
rnacentral:rRNA from 1 species